AAGACCUUGCGCUUUUGGAGCGGCCGAUGUCUGAUUAGCUUGUUGGUGAGGUAAAGGCUUACCAAGGCUUCGAUCAGUAGCUGGUCUGAGAGGACGACCAGCCACACUGGGACUGAGACACGGCCCAGACUCCUACGGGAGGCAGCAGUGGGGAAUUUUGGACAAUGGGGGCAACCCUGAUCCAGCCAUGCCGCGUGAGUGAAGAAGGCCUUCGGGUUGUAAAGCUCUUUCAGCCGGAACGAAACGGUUACGGUUAAUACCCGUGACUACUGACGGUACCGGAAGAAGAAGCACCGGCUAACUACGUGCCAGCAGCCGCGGUAAUACGUAGGGUGCGAGCGUUAAUCGGAAUUACUGGGCGUAAAGCGUGCGCAGGUGGUUUUGUAAGUCAGAUGUGAAAGCCCCGGGCCCAACCUGGGAACU
rnacentral:rRNA from 1 species